rnacentral:misc_RNA from 1 species
UUUAUUUAUGUUUUCCUAUUCUAUAUAGGUUUAGUGAAAUUACUAUUUUAUCUAGGUUUCUCUUAUGUAUUUGGGUUUAUCUAAACUUCCUAAUUAUUAGCUUUAUUCCUAUUGGUUUUAGGAGCCUAAAAACCCUAUAAAUACCCUAAAAUCUGUAUGUUUCAGUUCAAUUUAUCAGUAACAAAAUUCCAGCAGAGGUUUCUCUCAAAUUUUCUCUCCCUCACAUGCGAGUGUAAGUGUUUUACCUAGCUACAUUACGUCACCUAAUCUUUGUUACAUUUUGCUUCUACAAGCAUUCAAUUUCUCUGGGAGCUUUGCUGAGCUUUCUAUUGGCUGCGAUAAUAGCACUCAUUGGAAGCUAUUUGGGUUUUCUGUUCACAGCAGCAUUUGGAUUUGGUUUGGUGUUAUGUUUCAUGAUUUGAUAGAUUGGGUUGGCUGCGGAGCACAAAUUUGGCUUUGGGUUUAGGCGCGUGAGUGUGAGGAUUCUUGGGAUUUUUUUUCCAAAGAACUUAUUUCUUCUAAUUAUGUGAUGAGAAUUGUAACCAGAGGAUAAACGACGCUGAUGCUGUGUAGCAGAGAGCGCAGGGGGUGAGGAGCAGGAGCGACAGCAGCAAAGCAGGAGGCAAAUCCAACAGAGGCAGUGCGGUGGAGGCAAUCGCAACAAGGACCAUGCAGAAGGCACGCAGCAGUGGCAGCUGCAGGAGCUGCACCUAAAAACAAUAAUACUAACAACACUAACGAUAAGGACCAGUAACAGCCAAUAGAUGAAAAGAUAAUUGGUGCUGCAGUGGGGGAGAAUAGGGGUUUGGAAGGGGGAGUGGGAGUUGCUGGUGUUGACACUAUUAGUGAAGGGGCAGAAAUGGAGGAGGAAGUGGGAGAGAAGCCUUGGUUACUUGAUAUUUUAAUUCAGUUGAUUUUUUUUUUUCAUUUUUCGGCCUUUUUUCUACAUGAAAAUUAUCUCCAAACCCUUUAUAAUUUUAGUCUGGAUAGCAAGACACAUUUAAGAAUUUUAGCCACUUUGCACUUCCAAAGUCCAGACCGCAAGCCAAUGAAACACAAUCUACAAAACCUAAACAGUUCCUCUAUGAUACCAGUUAAAUUCAAAAAUUCUCUUAAACCUAGUUGACCAAAUAUGUAUCACUACUUCAAUAGGCAAAUUCCAUCAAAACUUAUAAAGUUCUACAUCAUGGUUAUCAAGUCCAAACAUUCUGUAUAGUAGUUCAAUCUUAACUAGAGUAAAUAAAACUAUAAUGUACAUAGUCAUCAAGUACAAAGAUGUUAUGCA